CGACCGGCGCACGGGUGAGUAACGCGUAUGCAACCUGCCCUUCACAGGGGGAUAACCGGGAGAAAUUCCGACUAAUACCGCAUACGUCCUCCGGGGGCAUCCCCGGGGGAUGAAAGAGUUAUCGGUGAAGGAUGGGCAUGCGUGAUAUUAGGUAGUUGGCGGGGCAACGGCCCACCAAGCCCACGAUAUCUAGGGGUUCUGAGAGGAAGGUCCCCCACAUUGGUACUGAGACACGGACCAAACUCCUACGGGAGGCAGCAGUGAGGAAUAUUGGUCAAUGGACGAGAGUCUGAACCAGCCAAGUCGCGUGAAGGAAGACGGAUCUAUGGUUUGUAAACUUCUUUAGUGCGGGAACAAAGCGGUGUCGUGACGCCGGAUGAGUGUACCGCAAGAAUAAGCAUCGGCUAACUCCGUGCCAGCAGCCGCGGUAAUACGGAGGAUGCGAGCGUUAUCCGGAUUUAUUGGGUUUAAAGGGAGCGCAGGCUGCGAGGCAAGUCAGCGGUCAAAUGUCGGGGCUCAACCCCGGCCUGCCGUUGAAACUGUUUUGCUAGAGUUCGAGUGAGGUAUGCGGAAUGCGUUGUGUAGCGGUGAAAUGCAUAGAUAUGACGCAGAACUCCGAUUGCGAAGGCAGCAUACCAACUCGCGACUGACGCUGAGGCUCGAAAGCGUGGGUAUCGAACAGGAUUAGAUACCCUGGUAGUCCACGCAGUAAACGAUGAAUACUAACUGUUCGGAGGGCGACCUCUGAGUGGUAAAGCGAAAGCGUUAAGUAUUCCACCUGGGGAGUACGCCGGCAACGGUGAAACUCAAAGGAAUUGACGGGGGCCCGCACAAGCGGAGGAACAUGUGGUUUAAUUCGAUGAUACGCGAGGAACCUUACCCGGGCUCAAACGUCGGGCGAAUCAUCCUGAAAGGGGUGAGCCAGCAAUGGCGGCC
rnacentral:rRNA from 1 species